GCUUACGGCCUUACCACCCUGAACACGCUCUCGAUCUCGGAAGCUAAGCAGGGUCGGGCCUAGUUAGUACUUGGAUGGGAGACCGCCUGGGAAUACCAGGUGCUGUAAGCU
rnacentral:rRNA from 1 species